GGAGCUGGAGUGAUCGUUACGCUGCGAUUUCACCCUGCCAAGGUGGAGUUCGUUUACGGGAACCGAGGGUUCAAAUCCCUCCGUCUCCG
rnacentral:tRNA from 1 species